CGAUCCAAGAAGAUCAUGUUGACUACGGUCGUCAUGAUCAACAGCAGCACUUUCAUCAUGCUUUCUUCCACCCUUUGGAAUGCGAGCCCAUUCUUCAAAUCGGGUACCAGGGGCAGCAAGAUCAUGGAAUGAAAGCAGGACCAAGUGUGAAUAAUUACAUGUGGUAUUGGUUACCAUGUGACGCCAACUCUAUUUGAUAUUUCUACAAGUUUUUUUGACUUUUUAUAUUAAAACUUUCUCUUCCCCUCUUAGACUACAUGAUAUGAGUACUUCUCUCUCUCUAAAUCUAUGCCUUGAGUGCAUUCGUUUAUGUGUAUUGUUUAUUAUGCCCUUCUAUAAUUCAAUGAUAUUUUGAAGAAAAUUUUAUUCGCCUUAUCUCCGACACUGUCACACUAAAAUCUGUAGUACAUCUAGAUAUAUACAUAUUCCCUUCUGAGCUUCUAUAUUUGCAGUUUCUGUUAAGUACAGUAUACACGCUUCCAGCUCCAAAAUCUUUUUGACUCCCAUUUUGUGUUAUGUAGUAAGGGUAAGAGACUUUUGUGUGAGCAUAUAAUUUAACAAUGAACAUUAGUGUAAAGCGGAUAGAAAAUAUAACUCACACCAGUUUUUCCAGAUGUCUUGUUUCUUAAUGCAAACUAACAGAAAAGAAGAAGUUAUCGUGUAUUACAAAAGGUUUGUCAUCGCUGAUGUCUGUGGCCAGCGAACUGUAUGCAGUCGGAAGUGGAAAAAUGACCUCAUGUACUUACUCUUAGGGAUCUGAGACAAUUAACAAGUAAUGCAGCUGCUGUUGUAAUCUGAGAUAUGAGAACAGACUAAAAAAAGCAUUUGUCACUCUAGAAAAAAGGUUCGAAAAAUAUCUAAACCAAACCAAGGUGAUAUCUACGGAAUCGUUUUGCCAAGAACUGAAACGAUCAAGUGAAAAAUCUCAAAGGUGAAGAAAAGAGAAAUGACAUGAAAAAAAAGAUGUGGAACUUUCUUAUAAUAAAUUGUUGGUGCAAGAGCAAGGUGUUGGAACCAAUUCUUAUAUAAGCUAAAUGGACUGAGUAAAAAAUUGAAUAAGCUUGAAUACAACUUUUAUAAGUCCAUUGACUUGAAUAAAAUUUUGAUUCAAUGUGAAAAGAAAUGAAGAUUUUUGGACCUGUACCUUCUUCUUCUCAUUCAUGGCUAUCCAAAGAUGAUGUGUUCAAAAAAAAGAAAAAAAGAGAGGCUAUCGAAGGUGACCCCUAAAUAGCUUUCCAUGUUGCCUUUCGUAUCAAAAAUGUAAUGACAAAGAGUCAAAGAUCCAUACAUCUGUUGUAUCGAAGGUGACCCCUAAAGAGUUUGUGUAUGUUUUACAGAGAAUGCAGGCAAGGUUGUAUUAUUAAAGGUAUUUACAAGUCUCAGUUCACAUUUCUCAUUCUCUGUCUUUACUCUUGCAUUCAGACUUGACUUCACACUAUAAAACAUACACAAACUUAUGGAGACUCAUGAUGACGUUUCACAUGAAUUGACGAAUUACAUCUUCGAUGUCUUAAAUCUCUACGUUAGUAUAGUACAAAGAGUCAAAGAUCCAUACAUCUGUUUGUUUCUGAAAUUUAAAAGUAAAUGUAAGUAACACAACAAUUCUCCGUUUGUAAAAAAAAAUCGUUAACCAAAUCAAGUUUAGUUACACAAAUUUGAUCAUUUUAAUUUCUUGGAAGCUGAAACCUUUUAUUUAAAAAAAAAAGACCUUUUAUUUUAUAUAUAAUGACGAUGAGUCCAAGACUAUAGUAACUUACUAUACAAUAGACUGGUCCCCAAAAACUUUUAGAAAACCCACUCAGUAAACCCAAGAAGUGACCUAUUUGAAUAUAUCCCCAUCUUUCUGUUUUUGGCAAUGAGGUCCCAUUCCAUUUACGUCUUGACAUGGACCAUGUCUGUCUAUUUUUAGAAGCUUAAUCAGACGGUUCUUAUUCCCCUCCAUGACACCGUCUUAUAAUCGUCCGAUUCAACCUCACGCCUAAUGGACCACAUCACUAAUAGUACUUCGCAACUUAGCUGUCGUGUAGGGUUUCACGUGGCAUUUAUUUGUUCUACAGUUUGCAUCGCAAAUUUGCAAGUUGAUGUUUGGUCCCCAUCGAUCAUCACCGUUUCUUUAGCAUCAUCGAAGAAUAUAGCAUUUUUGAUUCUGAGAACUCAUUAUAACCGUUGGCUCUCAUCGAUGUAUAUCUAUCCUUGUUGGGUCAUGUGUGUGCUCCAGGGCAUAAGAUCCCAAAGCGAUAAAGAGUAUUCCAAGUGCUUCUCUCUUACAUAUUUCCCAUUUUUUUAUUAUAAUGUAUAUGCUUUAGACGUAGAAAUCUAUUAUGCGAUACGAUACGAGAUUAUAUAUCUUCAAGACCUCACGUCCUAUCAUUAAAUUAUAGUAUGCCUUCGAGGUUUUCUGUUUUCCUCCGGAUAAAAAUACCUUAAAGAGACUUCAAGAAUGAUGACUUUAUUUUCUUGAAAUGUAUUUUUUUUAAAUAGUACCACUGUUUUGUCUCAUAACCUUGUAAAUCCACCACAUAUUAUUUAGAAACAAUUACAUAUAAGGUCACUUUACACUUAUUAAUAACACUCUAGGUCAGUUUCUACUACUCACACACUUUCUUUAACUCUUAUCUCAUAUUUAGUUAGGUUUGCCAACUAAAAGAAAACCAUAUUAUAAUUGAUGGGUCUCAUUUCUCUUCUCUCUUGGUUUCUCUUUUUCUUUGUCGACUCUCUCCUCUUCUCAUUUUAUCAGAUCCAUGGUGGUUCACAUUCUCUUCUCAUUCUUCUCUUCUUCUUUAUCAUUAAAAAAACUGAACUGAUUUUUUCUCCGUAAAUCUAUGCUUCGGGUCGUGCUCUCAGCCUUCACCAUCGUCGGAAUCAAACCUCGACGUCGUUGUCAGUAGGAUCCGGCGAGAAGAUAUAUCGGGCAACAUCAGUGGAGGAAUUUCAUAUUUUUUUCACCUUUCAUCCUCUAGUUUCCUUCUUCUUUCAAAAUAUGUCUCAAACUUCCAAUUUGAUCACAUUAUUUCACAAAUUUCCCCAAACUUUUAAUGUUUCAAUCUAGCAUUUAUUGUAUUUUGCAGAAAUGGUCCGUCGGCUUUUGAUUCUUUUUAGUAUUGCACUGAAAUAUUAGAUAGUGCAGAUUAGUCCCCAAUUUCAUUCCCAAACGUUCAAUUGUACAUUCCCAAACUUUCAAUUUUCUAUGUACACAUUGAUGUACACGUGGAUACUACGGUAUCUAAUAUCUAUGUACACAUGAAUAGAUUUUUAUGUAUGUAUGUUCUACAAUUUUUAACCAUAAGAUAAAUAUGUAACAUAUACAUAUAUGUAAAUCAAAAUAUAUAUUGUUUUUGGACUC